CAAUAGCGUAUAUUAAAGUUGUUGCAGUUAAAAAGCUCGUAGUUGGAUUUCUGAGAGGAUGCCAAUGUCCUUCUGUGUAAGUGUGCAGCGGCGUCUUUUCAUCCUUCUGUUAACACCUCUUGGCAUUCGUUUGCUGGUGGUGGGCUCAGAUAUUUUACCUUGAGAAAAUUAGAGUGUUUCAGGCAGGCUAGGCCGGAAUACAUUAGCAUGGAAUAAUGGAAUAGGACUACGGUCUCUUUGUUGGUUUGAGGGACUGCAGUAAUGAUUAAUAGGGAUAGUUGGGGGCAUUAGUAUUUAAUUGUCAGAGGUGGAAUUCUCGGAUUUGUUAAAGACUAACUUAUGCGAAANCANNNGCCAAGGAUGUUUUCAUNAA
rnacentral:rRNA from 1 species